UAUUAAAUUCAAAAAGAAUUAAAUGUAAGAUAUGCAAUAAUUAUCCCUUAACAUAAGUUUAUAUUUUCCUUAUUAGCUGGAACAAAUAUAAGGUAAUUUGAAGCAGUAAUAUAAGUCUUUGUUCUUUAACAAUUUCUAGUGAUAAAAUUAAGAAGAAAAACAUGUUUUACACUUGAAAAUAGCAACUUUUUACAAAUGGAGGAAAAUGAACAGAAGUAAAGAAAAUUCAAUAUCCUGUUUUAAAUGAAGGCAGUAAUUUUCUUACAAGAAGGAGGAGGAGAAGGAGGAGGAGGAGAAAAAGAAGAGGAAGAGGAAGAAGAAGGAGAAGGAGAGGGAGAGGGAGAGUAUUUAAUAGCAUGGAAAGUGAUUUCUAAAAUCUCUGUGCUCAAGUUUCUUCAAUUGCAAAAUAGUCAUUAUAUCUUCUUUUCAUGACCAUCAUUUAGAUGACUAUAUACAUGGAAUACAUCUGUUAAAUAAUAAAUAUUCCUUAAAAAUAAGGUAUCGGUUUUCUUAGUUUGUUUUGUAAUUAGUAACCAUUAAUAGUCUUGAAUUGGCAACCUCAGUACUUCAGGAACUGAUAAGGUGAAGUGCAGAUUUUCUUUCCAGACCCUCAGCCUCUUAGCUGAAUUUUACUAAUUGCAGGAUAUUCAGCAUGUGCUUGCUAUGGCUCUAGAGCUUAUCUUGAUGUACUAAUUACACAGGAGUGUGUUCCUUAUAAAAGUCUGAGGGCCUCUACUUGCAUUUGUAGUCUGAUUCUUUCAUUGAAUCUGUUCUGAUACUCACUGCAGCUGCUCACUUGGAUUAGUUGAUGCCCUGUCCUAACACCUUUCUGGCCUAAUAUCCCUUAUUCCACUCUAUUAGUCCCAGGCCUUCACCUAUCUCUAUGAUUUGUUGCUUCUUCCUUUUAGAGAUGCUGUAUGUUUUCUGUAUGUAUGAAAAAAAAUGAAUGAAAACAACACAGUGUUCCUCAGAAAAACACACUGCACUUUAAACAUAAUAUAAUAAGAUGAAAAUGUGUUGUGAGGACUAAAAAUUAAAUCACAACACAAAUUGAAAUUUAUAGUAAUAAUGAUGUUAUCUUAUGCUUCAAAUCUUUAAUGGCUUGUUUAGAAGAGGGGAGAUUUUCUAAAAUAUCUCUUCUUGAGUAUAUAAUUUAGCAUAUGUAAGAGUCUAUAUAUAUAUAUAUUAUAUGUAUAUUAGUGAUUGCCCUUUCUAUUUAACAUUUGUAUUCUAGAUAUGUAAACGUAUUACAUAUCUUGGGGAAAAAUAAUGUCAGGAAGAAAAAAUUACCCAAGAACUUAGGAAAGAGUUUCAGAUGACUGAGAAUUACACUUAAAAAUUGGCACAUAGUGAUUUAAAUCUGAGAUUUUUCAAUAUUCUUAACCCUAGAGAAAGUGAUUAAUACAAAUGGAACACUAAUAAUAGAGCAUUUUAUUUAUGCAUACCUACUGUUCUAUAAUGGAAAUCUGUCAUCUUUCGUGAACUCAAAAAUAUGUCCUGUGUUCUUUUUUCACUGUUCCUCUAAUGAUAAAUGAAGUUGCU
rnacentral:lncRNA from 1 species